UACGGGGGGGGCAAGCGUUGUUCGGAAUUACUGGGCGUAAAGGGCUCGUAGGCGGCCAACUAAGUCAGACGUGAAAUCCCCAGGCUCAACCUGGGAACUGCGUCUGAUACUGGAUGGCUUGAAUCCGGGAGAGGGAUGCAGAAUUCCAGGUGUAGCGGUGAAAUGCGUAGAGAUCCGGAAGAACACCGGUGGCGAAGGCGGCCUGCUGGGCAGUUGCUGACACUGAGGCGCGACAGCGUGGGGAGCAAACAGG
rnacentral:rRNA from 1 species